rnacentral:rRNA from 1 species
UAGGGAAUCUUCCGCAAUGGGCGAAAGCCUGACGGAGCAACGCCGCGUGAGUGAUGAAGGUCUUCGGAUCGUAAAACUCUGUUAUUAGGGAAGAACAAAUGUGUAAGUAACUAUGCACGUCUUUACGGUACCUAAUCAGAAAGCCACGGCUAACUACGUGCCAGCAGCCGCGGUAAUACGUAGGUGGCAAGCGUUAUCCGGAAUUAUUGGGCGUAAAGCGCGCGUAGGCGGUUUUUUAAGUCUGAUGUGAAAGCCCACGGCUCAACCGUGAAGAGUGAUUGGAAACUGGAAAACUUGAGGGCGGAAGAGGAAAGUGGAAUUCCAUGUGUAGCGGUGAAAUGCGCAGAGAUAUGGAGGAACACCAGUGGCGAGGGCGACUUUCUGGUCUGUAACUGACGCUGAUGUGCGAAAGCGUGGGGAUCAAACAGG